UACGGAAGGGGCAAGCGUUGUUCGGAAUUAUUGGGCGUAAAGGGCGCGUAGGUGGUUCUGUAUGUCUACCGUGAAAGCAUACGGCUCAACUGUAUUUUGUCGGUAGAAACUGCAGGACUUGAGGCUGGGAGGGGCUGGUGGAAUUCCCUGUGUAGCGGUGAAAUGCGUAGAGAUGGGGGAGAACACGCGUGGCGAAGGCGGCCAGCUAGACCAGUUCUGACACUGAGGCGCGACAGCGUGGGGAGCAAACAGG
rnacentral:rRNA from 1 species